AUAGGUAUCCUCAGAUGGAGAUCUCGGGUUUCUUGCCUCCCUCGAUCCUCUAUCCACUCCCUCCAUCUCUCUCCCCCGCUCGCCCGUAUGAUCGGUAUGUUAAUGUCAUUCUCCCGAAUCCCCACGGCCCCGAUUCGAGGUACUAGCCAGGCCAGGUUUUUCGUGUCGGGAACGAUGUCGCUUCUAAUUGACGAGUGGCGGGCGUAGAACGAGCGACAAGGACCCGUGUGACAUGUGUCCAAGGUGUUCGCGGCGACGUUCAGCCGUGUCUUAUUAUACGUUGGACACCCCGAUAUUUCGGCGGAUCGCGGCAAAUCGGGGGCCAAGCCGGGGAAAAAGUGGCGGCGAGCAACCUCC